CGAAAGCCUGACGGAGCAAGACCGCGUGAGGGAGGAAGGCUCUUGGGUUGUAAACCUCUUUUCUCAGGGAAGAAGCUCUGACGGUACCUGAGGAAUCAGCCUCGGCUAACUCCGUGCCAGCAGCCGCGGUAAUACGGAGGAGGCAAGCGUUAUCCGGAAUUAUUGGGCGUAAAGCGUCCGCAGGUGGCUUAACAAGUCUGCUGUUAAAGACCGAAGCUUAACUUCGGGCAGGCGGUGGAAACUGUUAGGCUAGAGACCGGUAGGGGUAGAGGGAAUUCCCAGUGUAGCGGUGAAAUGCGUAGAGAUUGGGAAGAACACCAGUGGCGAAGGCGCUCUACUGGGCCGGUACUGACACUCAGGGACGAAAGCUAGGGGAGCG
rnacentral:rRNA from 1 species